rnacentral:lncRNA from 1 species
GUUGGCAUGAAUAAAACUAAUAAAACACAAGAGGCCAGUACUGUUGAUUGCCCCAAAGCAGACCUGGGUUUAAAGAACACAAAAUGAAAGAAUGUUUUCAAUAUGUGCUGUUUUGUGUCUUUUUAAUUUUGCAGUCUUAUAGUACCUUUUUAAAACAUAAAAUGUAAAUUAAAGAUUGUGCCUUAAAAAAAAAAAACUGAGAGUUAAGAUGCAUGUAUGUAUUCUUUUACAGUCGUGGUGAUUUAAAUGUAACUAUUUGCUGUAUAUACUCUUGUGUUCAUAGAGUUCAUAUUUGUUUUUAAAAGAUAAAAAGCAAAGUACAGUCUGAAACAAAGCACGUGUAUGGGCUGAAUGGGACUUCCUUUUGCCUGGCUGACCUAGAUCAUCCAUCCCCCACCUUCCACACUCUUCCUGUCUGCCCUCUGACCAGCUCAUUAGCAUCUACAGAAGAGAGGUCAGCCAAGAGAAGAAAGAGCAGGAAAGGACACAUCCCUGACCACCCAUAGAAAGUUACAUCAUCAAUUCUGAAGCCCAUCAGGUGUCUGAGGAGUAAGUUAAAGGUGUCUGAGGAGUAAGAGGUUGUGGACAACUCUUGAAUCUUAAUCUCUUUGUUCUCCAUGUUACCACAGAUAAUUCUGGGUUGAUUAGAUGUUAUAGAUAGGUUGAACUGUCAGUGCCAUCAGUGCUGUUGAAAUCAGCAGUCCUUCUUAAUCUUAAAGAUAAAAAAAAAAAAAAUUAGUAACUGAGAAGCAGCAGUGAUU